rnacentral:rRNA from 1 species
GACGAACGCUGGCGGCGUGCUUAACACAUGCAAGUCGAACGGAAAGGCCCUGCUUUUGUGGGGUGCUCGAGUGGCGAACGGGUGAGUAACACGUGAGUAACCUGCCCUUGACUUUGGGAUAACUUCAGGAAACUGGGGCUAAUACCGGAUAGGAGCUCCUGCUGCAUGGUGGGGGUUGGAAAGUUUCGGCGGGUGGGGAUGGACUCGCGGCUUAUCAGCUUGUUGGUGGGGUAGUGGCUUACCAAGGCUUUGACGGGUAGCCGGCAUGAGAGGGUGACCGGCCACAUUGGGCCUGAGAUACGGCCCAGACUCCUACGGGAGGCAGCAGUGGGGAAUAUUGCACAAUGGGCGGAAGCCUGAUGCAGCAACGCCGCGUGCGGGAUGACGGCCUUCGGGUUGUAAACCGCUUUCGCCUGUGACGAAGCGUGAGUGACGGUAAUGGGUAAAGAAGCACCGGCUAACUACGUG